rnacentral:rRNA from 1 species
UUGCCCUAGUAACGGCGAGUGAAGCGGCAACAGCUCAAAUUUGAAAUCUGGCUUCGGCCCGAGUUGUAAUUUGCAGAGGAAGCUUUAGGCGCGGCACCUUCUGAGUCCCCUGGAACGGGGCGCCAUAGAGGGUGAGAGCCCCGUAUAGUUGGAUGCCUAGCCUGUGUAAAGCUCCUUCGACGAGUCGAGUAGUUUGGGAAUGCUGCUCAAAAUGGGAGGUAAAUUUCUUCUAAAGCUAAAUACCGGCCAGAGACCGAUAGCGCACAAGUAGAGUGAUCGAAAGAUGAAAAGCACUUUGAAAAGAGGGUUAAAUAGCACGUGAAAUUGUUGAAAGGGAAGCGCUUGUGACCAGACUUGCGCCGGGCGGAUCAUCCGGUGUUCUCACCGGUGCACUCCGCCCGGCUCAGGCCAGCAUCGGUUCUCGCGGGGGGAUAAAGGUCUCGGGAACGUAGCUCCUCCGGGAGUGUUAUAGCCCGGGGCGUAAUGCCCUCGCGGGGACCGAGGUUCGCGCAUCUGCAAGGAUGCUGGCGUAAUGGUCAUCAGCGACCCGUCUUGAAACACGGACCAAGGAGUCAAGGUUUUGCGCGAGUGUUUGGGUGUAAAACCCGCACGCGUAAUGAAAGUGAACGUAGGUGAGAGCUUCGGCGCAUCAUCGACCGAUCCUGAUGUUUUCGGAUGGAUUUGAGUAGGAGCGUUAAGCCUUGGACCCGAAAGAUGGUGAACUAUGCUUGGAUAGGGUGAAGCCAGAGGAAACUCUGGUGGAGGCUCGCAGCGGUUCUGACGUGCAAAUCGAUCGUCAAAUCUGAGCAUGGGGGCGAAAGACU